CCUANGGGAGGCUGCAGUGAGGAAUCUUGCGCAAUGGGGGAAACCCUGACGCAGCAACGCCGCGUGAGUGAGGAAGGUUUUCGGAUCGUAAAACUCUGUCGGGUGGAAAGAAGUGUAUGGGGGUGAAUAGCUCUCAUACUUGACGGUACCACCAAAGGAAGCACCGGCUAACUCCGUGCCAGCAGCCGCGGUAAUACGGGGGGUGCAAGCGUUGUUCGGAAUUAUUGGGCGUAAAGAGCGUGUAGGCGGCCUGAUAAGUCGGAUGUGAAAGCCCUGGGCUCAACCCAGGAAGUGCAUUUGAAACUGUCAGGCUUGAGUAGGGGAGAGGGAAGUGGAAUUCCUGGUGUAGAGGUGAAAUUCGUAGAUAUCAGGAGGAACACCGGUGGCGAAGGCGACUUCCUGGCCCUAUACUGACGCUGAGACGCGAGAGCGUGGGUAGCAAACAGGAUUAGAUACCCCGNUANUC
rnacentral:rRNA from 1 species